UAAUAAGAUAUAUAUAUACAGUUUAAUACUUUUUAUGAAAACUUGUAAAUAUUCAUACAUGUAUACCUUUGAAAUCUUUAGCGACGAUGCUUUCGUUCUUUUCAUGUCAGCUUACUAAUUAGUUUAAUUGAUGAAGUAAUAACUUUAGUAGAAAUUGAUCUUUGAUUCAUCGUAUUCAUUUCCCUAUUCUUUUUUUAUAUAUAUGUAAAAAAAAAUCAAGAUAAUUUGUAAUUUGUUUCGCAUGGCUUACAAAUAAUUAGAGAGUGUUCAUAUGUAAAUACAUAUUCAAACUUUUUCAUCAAUUGAUUUUUGAGAAAAUUUCAGAAUAUAUCUAAGCUUCUUUACUUAUCAAAUUAAUUAUGGUUGAUCAACACAAAAAGGGAAGACUAUGUUGGACAAAUUGCACUCUUUUAUAUCUCAUCAGCGUAUGUUUAAUUAUGAAAGUUUACGAAGAAUUGUUGGAAGGCUUAUGUGCUUGUUUAAGUUGUAUAUUUGAGUAUUUAAUGCAAAUACGAACAUCAUGUGUAACAUCGUAUGAUUCGCCCAUACAUUCAUGCUAGGAACAGAAGUUUGUAUAAUAAAAAUUUUGAGUUCGUACAAAUGAAUUGGUAUGCUAAUCAAAAAUAGAGAAUGUUCCAUAUAAACGUCGUCCGUUUAUGUUUAGCAGAGCAUGUUAUUAUUAAUUAUCAAUUGCAUAAGGAUAUCAUACACCAUUCUUUAUGUUAUUUUCAUUUGUCAAUAUACAACAUGUAUAAUGUUUGCAUUAAUACAAAUGUUAGAUUUCUUUGAUUAGUAUGAAAUUAAAUAUACCACAAUUCAUGUGAUUAAAAAUUGCCUUAAAUAUAAUUUCACUCAAUGGUUUCGUGGGUCUCAAAAUAUAGUAUGAUUAAAGUUACUUCAUUUAAUCUCUCAUGUUAUGUCUAUAUGUAUAAUAACUUUCAAAUGUCAUAUCUGGUUUCAUUGGCAUAACAAUUUGAAGAUCAAAAUGCAUGAAUUUCUGACACCUUCUUAUCUCUUUGCGUUGCUUGCGAGGUACAUCGGGAGCUACUUGGACAAAUAAGCUUGGACAAUGUAUACGAGCAUCAGUCGCCCCCAUUCAUUCCGGUGAGGGUGUUACGGGCGGAACCACCGGGUCAUAGCCCCUAGUGUAGAAGUUAGAAGAAUUAGAAGUGAACAUCCUGGGAUGCUUUGGCCGUAAUGAGUGAUCGAGUGAAAGGAUCAUUCAAAGUCACAAGAGCUUUUGCUGUUGGAUUUUUGAAGCGGGUUAAUCUCUUAAGCAGGUUUCUUCAUGGUAUCAGAGCCAAGUUUUUUCGUUCAUCCUUGAACGAAAUAAGUUCUAAACAUCUGUCGCCUAUUUCUCGAUCUUCUAUUCAUCUUGACCUAGAUGGAUUCAUGACCUAAAUCCUCUACCUCCGUUCCUGCUACCAAUAUAGUCAAAAUGGCGGACACCCCUAUUCCUUUUCAACUGAAAUUUCUCAUGACUAAUGUCAAAGCAGUUCUCAACAUUCAGCUCACUACCGAGAACUAUCCCUUUUGGAAAUCGCAGAUAUUCAAACUCUUCACUACUAACGGAUUCUAUGGUUACUUGGAUGGCUCUACACCCAAGCCCACUCGGAUGAUACCGUUUAACUUAGUAAAAGUGUUAGAUUUGUUUGUGUUGACUCAUAUCUAAACUUAUUUGUGCGUUCGUAAACCAUUUUAGUUAGUAUAAAUUAUUGUAGAAGAAGAUUCAGAAUUUUACUUCGCUUAUUUUAAUUUUAUGCUAUCUAAUAAAGAGAUCUUUGUUGCAGCUUCUUAUAGGUGAGUGA